rnacentral:rRNA from 1 species
AGAGUUUGAUCCUGGCUCAGGAUGAACGCUGGCGGCGUGCCUAAUACAUGCAAGUCGAGCGAACGGACGAGAAGCUUGCUUCUCUGAUGUUAGCGGCGGACGGGUGAGUAACACGUGGAUAACCUACCUAUAAGACUGGGAUAACUUCGGGAAACCGGAGCUAAUACCGGAUAAUAUUUUGAACCGCAUGGUUCAAAAGUGAAAGACGGUCUUGCUGUCACUUAUAGAUGGAUCCGCGCUGCAUUAGCUAGUUGGUAAGGUAACGGCUUACCAAGGCAACGAUGCAUAGCCGACCUGAGAGGGUGAUCGGCCACACUGGAACUGAGACACGGUCCAGACUCCUACGGGAGGCAGCAGUAGGGAAUCUUCCGCAAUGGGCGAAAGCCUGACGGAGCAACGCCGCGUGAGUGAUGAAGGUCUUCGGAUCGUAAAACUCUGUUAUUAGGGAAGAACAUAUGUGUAAGUAACUGUGCACAUCUUGACGGUACCUAAUCAGAAAGCCACGGCUAACUACGUGCCAGCAGCCGCGGUAAUACGUAGGUGGCAAGCGUUAUCCGGAAUUAUUGGGCGUAAAGCGCGCGUAGGCGGUUUUUUAAGUCUGAUGUGAAAGCCCACGGCUCAACCGUGGAGGGUCAUUGGAAACUGGAAAACUUGAGUGCAGAAGAGGAAAGUGGAAUUCCAUGUGUAGCGGUGAAAUGCGCAGAGAUAUGGAGGAACACCAGUGGCGAAGGCGACUUUCUGGUCUGUAACUGACGCUGAUGUGCGAAAGCGUGGGGAUCAAACAGGAUUAGAUACCCUGGUAGUCCACGCCGUAAACGAUGAGUGCUAAGUGUUAGGGGGUUUCCGCCCCUUAGUGCUGCAGCUAACGCAUUAAGCACUCCGCCUGGGGAGUACGACCGCAAGGUUGAAACUCAAAGGAAUUGACGGGGACCCGCACAAGCGGUGGAGCAUGUGGUUUAAUUCGAAGCAACGCGAAGAACCUUACCAAAUCUUGACAUCCUUUGACAACUCUAGAGAUAGAGCCUUCCCCUUCGGGGGACAAAGUGACAGGUGGUGCAUGGUUGUCGUCAGCUCGUGUCGUGAGAUGUUGGGUUAAGUCCCGCAACGAGCGCAACCCUUAAGCUUAGUUGCCAUCAUUAAGUUGGGCACUCUAAGUUGACUGCCGGUGACAAACCGGAGGAAGGUGGGGAUGACGUCAAAUCAUCAUGCCCCUUAUGAUUUGGGCUACACACGUGCUACAAUGGACAAUACAAAGGGCAGC